rnacentral:rRNA from 1 species
UACGAAGGGUGCAAGCGUUAUCCGGAAUUAUUGGGCGUAAAGCGCGCGCAGGCGGCCUUUUAAGUCUGAUGUGAAAGCCCACGGCUCAACCGUGGAAGGUCAUUGGAAACUGAAAGGCUUGAGUACAGAAGAGGAAAGCGGAAUUCCACGUGUAGCGGUGAAAUGCGUAGAGAUGUGGAGGAACACCAGUGGCGAAGGCGGCUUUCUGGUCUGUAACUGACGCUGAGGCGCGAAAGCGUGGGGAGCAAACAGG